rnacentral:rRNA from 1 species
CGUGUAGGCUGAUCAGUCAGUCAGGGGUGAAAUCCCGGGGCUCAACCCCGGAACUGCCUUUGAUACUGCUGAUCUGGAGUCCGGUAGAGGUGAGUGGAAUUCCGAGUGUAGAGGUGAAAUUCGUAGAUAUUCGGAGGAACACCAGUGGCGAAGGCGGCUCACUGGACCGGUACUGACGCUGAGACGCGAAAGUGUGGGGAGCAAACA